GAUGAAGAACGUAGCGAAAUGCGAUACGUAAUGUGAAUUGCAGAAUUCAGUGAAUCAUCGAGUCUUUGAACGCACAUUGCGCCCCCUGGUAUUCCGGGGGGCAUGCCUGUCCGAGCGUCAUUGCUGCCCUCAAGCACGGCUUGUGUGUUGGGCCUCCGUCCUCCUCCCGGGGGACGGGCCCGAAAGGCAGCGGCGGCACCGCGUCCGGUCCUCGAGCGUAUGGGGCUUCGUCACCCGCUCUUGUAGGCCCGGCCGGCGCUUGCCGACACAUCAAUCUUUUUUCCAGGUUGACCUCGGAUCAGGUAGGGAUACCCGUUGAACUUAAGCAUAUCAAUAAGCGGAGGA
rnacentral:misc_RNA from 1 species